AAGAACAAAACGUGAAAGUCAAUCCUUCAAUGUUUUGCAUUAGCCAGAUUGGCACCAUCAUUUACCCAGAAAAUCUCACCUUCCAAAAACCUCAUUUGUCCUUUGCUCCCCUCGACACCAUUUUCUUUCAGUCUUUAACAUCUUAAUCAACCUUCUUCUCACCCUUCUCCAACCCUCGUCACACGAACCGAGUGCGAAUUCAAACCAACAUGUCGAUGAGGUCUUGCUUCCUUUCUGACGUCUGCUGCUGUGCCACGGAUCCUGGUACUUGCGUCACCUUGCACUCCUCUCACAUUCAGUGGACGUCCCAUUCAUCCAGGAAGCGCCUUUCAUCGUUCUGGCCCACAAUGCACAGGAACUCUUACCAGCAUCUUUCCACAUCAUGACAUCUGACUUCAUACUUUUCUCAGUGAUAUCAGCACUGCAGAAAGGAGGAGACAGCUUUCCCCUCAGAGCAAACUCUGGCAAAGUGCUUGGAAAGGCACUGCGUAGCUCAGACAGGAGCACCAAGCCAGUCUAUGUGUCAGUUGGCCACAAGAUCAGUCUGGAUACAGCUGUUCAGCUCACAUACUCCUGCAGCCGGUUCAGAGUUCCGGAGCCAAUUAGACAGGUACCAAAGAACACGCAUGUGCACACAUGCAUUUGUCAUCUGCUAAAGCGCUAAGCCAACAGCUCCUAUUCUGGAGCUGUGAUGCCAAUGAAUUGUGAUUAAGAGAUCAGCACAAAUAUAACAAAGCUCUGCACUGGUAUGUAAACCCUGUCACCUUCGAUCUCUUGAAUGGCUGUUACAUGCCGUAUGGUAUGAAAGUCACCUAAAAUUAAACAGUAAUUUUACAAGUAAGAUAUCUGCCAUAAAAUGCGUCACAUGCCAGAAUAAUAGUGUUUCGUAUUGCCUCGAAGACAACUUAUAGUUACUAAGUAGACAAAAGGCACGACAAGACAAGGGUACAUGGGAAACAACGGAGCCAGUAGGAUGGAUGAAAAUGGUAAAAUAGACACAAGGCCUGUGGCUAAUAAUGUAAAAAAGGGCAAACUAAGACAGGAUUGAGGUGGACCAGAGCGGGAAAAUCAGAGUUCCACAAAAUGAAUUUGCAAGGGCCAUGAAGGCAACUGAUUCUUAACCCUCUGAACUUUAAAUUCACAUUUUUUACUUGAAAUCCAAAUCUAUAAAAACCAACAAAACUGAAAGAAGCAACUUUUCAAGGAUAUCGAAUUCACAAAAACCACCUCACGAAUCCAUCGUGUCAAGCUUCAAGUUGAUCCUACAGUCCUUUGAGGGAACAAAUGAACAGUUUGUUAACAAAUGCUAUGUCACUGGACAGUGUACUAUUUGCUAGUUACUACUUUUCGUAUUUGCGCUCUUCUUUGUCCCAUUUUGGGGGAAAUUUGUUGUGUUUGUUCCAUAAAUUUCUUUCAGUGCGUUUCAAUGGAGGAGCCAGAAAAAGGUAAAUGCGUAGUUAUUGUUUUUGAUUCAACCAAGGUAAUAACAUCACUGAAGAAAGCAAAGA